GACGAACGUUGGCGGCGUGCUUAACACAUGCAAGUCGAACGGAAAGGCCCUGCUUUUGUGGGGUGCUCGAGUGGCGAACGGGUGAGUAACACGUGAGUAACCUGCCCUUGACUUUGGGAUAACUUCAGGAAACUGGGGCUAAUACCGGAUAGGAGCUCCUGCUGCAUGGUGGGGGUUGGAAAGUUUCGGCGGUUGGGGAUGGACUCGCGGCUUAUCAGCUUGUUGGUGGGGUAGUGGCUUACCAAGGCUUUGACGGGUAGCCGGCCUGAGAGGGUGACCGGCCACAUUGGGACUGAGAUACGGCCCAGACUCCUACGGGAGGCGGCAGUGGGGAAUAUUGCACAAUGGGCGGAAGCCUGAUGCAGCAACGCCGCGUGCGGGAUGACGGCCUUCGGGUUGUAAACCGCUUUCGCCUGUGACGAAGCGUGAGUGACGGUAAUGGGUAAAGAAGCACCGGCUAACUACGUGCCAGCAGCCGCGGUGAUACGUAGGGUGCGAGCGUUGUCCGGAUUUAUUGGGCGUAAAGGGCUCGUAGGUGGUUGAUCGCGUCGGAAGUGUAAUCUUGGGGCUUAACCCUGAGCGUGCUUUCGAUACGGGUUGACUUGAGGAAGGUAGGGGAGAAUGGAAUUCCUGGUGGAGCGGUGGAAUGCGCAGAUAUCAGGAGGAACACCAGUGGCGAAGGCGGUUCUCUGGGCCUUUCCUGACGCUGAGGAGCGAAAGCGUGGGGAGCGAACAGGCUUAGAUACCCUGGUAGUCCACGCUGUAAACGGUGGGUACUAGGUGUGGGGUCCAUUCCACGGGUUCCGUGCCGUAGCUAACGCUUUAAGUACCCCGCCUGGGGAGUACGGCCGCAAGGCUAAAACUCAAAGGAAUUGACGGGGCCCCGCACAAGCGGCGGAGCAUGCGGAUUAAUUCGAUGCAACGCGUAGAACCUUACCUGGGUUUGACAUGGAUCGGGAGUGCUCAGAGAUGGGUGUGCCUCUUUUGGGGUCGGUUCACAGGUGGUGCAUGGCUGUCGUCAGCUCGUGUCGUGAGAUGUUGGGUUAAGUCCCGCAACGAGCGCAACCCUUGUUCACUGUUGCCAGCACGUUAUGGUGGGGACUCAGUGGAGACCGCCGGGGUCAACUCGGAGGAAGGUGGGGACGACGUCAAGUCAUCAUGCCCCUUAUGUCCAGGGCUUCACGCAUGCUACAAUGGCUGGUACAGAGAGUGGCGAGCCUGUGAGGGUGAGCGAAUCUCGGAAAGCCGGUCUCAGUUCGGAUUGGGGUCUGCAACUCGACCUCAUGAAGUCGGAGUCGCUAGUAAUCGCAGAUCAGCAACGCUGCGGUGAAUACGUUCCCGGG
rnacentral:rRNA from 1 species